CCAAAUAUUAUUAAAUCUCCAAUCCCACUUAUUCUUGUUCAUUGUUGCACAUUCAACAAGGUAUGUCGCAAUGACAAAGGUUAGCAGCUUCGCAAAAUGCAUCAACAUCUUUGCCAUACUUUUUAAUACAAUGACUCAUGCAUUUUGCAUUGGAGCAAUCUUGGAGCUUCUCUUGCCGAUAACAUGAAUAUCGCUCAUCCGCCUUUGUCACGAAACCUGCCAAAAAGUUACUCAUUAGUCUAGCUUUGUUUGUUCUAAUUGACAAAGCCAUUUGGUUUUUUUUUAUUUGACAAGAAUAUUUGUCCUGUGAAUUGGUGUUUGGGCUAAAAUAUGGAAUUGAUGAAAUGCUAAACGCAAUACUUGACUUUUGCAUGAGUUGUGUAUUUCUAAACAAGCUUACCUCCUAAUUACAAGAUUAUUGUAGUUCAUAUAUUCGUAAGGAGAAAGAAGAUUUUGUUGUAUAUAUUUCAAUAGGUGCAUAAGGAAACAUAUCAAUGAGAUGAGUGGAGCUUAAUUCGCAACAAGAUUUACAAAAGAACUUAGGUUUGAUAGAUUUAAUUCAGUUGUUGGAUAUAUAUUUGAAUUAUGCAUCCUUGUGUCAAAUCCUAUGUUAAUAUUGCUACUAUACUUGGCCCAAGCCUUUUAAAAAAAAAUGCUAAAGUUUAGCAUUUUGUCACCGCUCAGUUCAUUGCCUCCACAGAACCAGUGAAUUGAGGGGUGACUGAAAUGGAUGAUGUAUAAAAAAAUGUAACAUUCUCAACCAAUAAUUUCCCCACUUACUUGCUCAAAAAAUGAAAUAAAAAAACUUAGGGAACGCAUGGUAUGGGGGGAAGGAGUUUAUAUUAGUUAAUCAUAUAAAAUGAAAAGAGAUAGAGCAAAUAAGGGAGAAAUUUCUUACCACUAGAAAUAAGAAAAACAACCAUAAUCAGGAGAACAACAGAAGAUGCCUUCAUGUUUGCUGGUUUAGCAUAAA
rnacentral:lncRNA from 1 species